rfam:Beta vulgaris subsp. vulgaris Bvchr3.sca010.con0019.1, whole genome shotgun sequence.
AACUAUUUACCAAAAACUCAUAAGACCAUGUAUGGGGGCUGAUGCGUUCCCAGUGUAAAAAGGCCAAGGAAUUUGGUGACCUGAUGACAGGGGAGUCGGCCUCCGAAGCCACGGUGAACAGCGGCCGUAACUAUGAUGGUCCUAAGGUAGCGAAAUUCCUUGUUGAAUUGGUUCUUAACCUAACCCCUAAU